rnacentral:rRNA from 1 species
AGGACGAACGCUGGCGGCGCGCCUAAUACAUGCAAGUCGAGCGAGAACCAGGGCUUGCCCUGGGGAGAGCGGCGAACGGGUGCGUAUCACGUGAGCAACCUGCCUCAGGGACCGGGAUAACUCGAGGAAACUCGGGCUAAUACCGGAUGCCCUCGUUGGACCGCAUGGUUCGGCGAGGAAAUGGAUUCCGCUCUGAGAUGGGCUCGCGGCCUAUCAGCUUGUUGGUGGGGUAACGGCCUACCAAGGCAACGACGGGUAGCUGGUCUGAGAGGACGAUCAGCCACACUGGGACUGAGACACGGCCCAGACUCCUACGGGAGGCAGCAGUAGGGAAUCUUGCGCAAUGGGGGAAACCCUGACGCAGCGACGCCGCGUGCGGGAUGAAGGCCUUCGGGUCGUAAACCGCUUUCAGCAGGGACGAAAUUGACGGUACCUGCAGAAGAAGGCCCGGCCAACUACGCGCCAGCAGCCGCGGUAA